CAAAAUAUCCUGUGUUUUGCCAGCUGUAGCUGAUCCUUUAAUGAUAUAAUGCGAGUUUCUGUAUGUGAGUAUAUAAUAUGUAAAGCACGAAAGUCCAUUUGAAAUAAUGACUUAUCCUCAUGCGGAUCUUUGUCAAACAGGUCAUAUUUAUUCUUCUUUUUUUUUUUCGACUUCAGGAAUGUGUGUGCACAUAUAGAACAGGGGACGUAUAACAGCUGAUUUUACAACUGAACAUCCAUUCUGUUUUGCCUCGUAUGCACAUCUUAACCAGUUACGUAAAACGCGUUGGACCAAAAGUACUUUUGUGUGUAGUUUCAAAGCCACUGCUGCAGAUCACGGUACUCUGGAUGUCCACUCCUUGGUAUUAUUUUCCUAUUGAUGGUUAUAUGCCAAAGAAAAGCAGGAUGAUGAAAACCGCCAAAAAUUCUGAAUGCAUUUUUUAUUCUAUGGAAGACCGUGUGCACCCAUGUCUUCUAAGGACACUAAUAGGGGUCAGCAACUAGUGCUAAAUCUGGCCCUAAAUGUCAGGCGUUCAGCUGCGAAGAAAUGACUGUCUUGUUGCACCUGUAAGAGAGAACUCAACAUGAACAUGAGAUGGGAGAAAGUUCAGUAUUAUAAACACGGU
rnacentral:lncRNA from 1 species